CCUACGGGAGGCUGCAGUAGGGAAUCUUCCACAAUGGGCGAAAGCCUGAUGGAGCAACGCCGCGUGGGUGAAGACGGUCCUCGGAUCGUAAAACCCUGUUGUUAGAGAAGAAAGUGCGUGAGAGCAACUGUCCACGUUUCGACGGUAUCUAACCAGAAAGCCACGGCUAAUUACGUGCCAGCAGCCGCGGUAAUACGUAGGUGGCAAGCGUGUUCCGGUUUUAUUGGGCGUAAAGGGAACGCAGGGGGUCUUUUAAGUCUGAUGUGAAAGCCUUCGGCUUAACCGGAGUAGUGCAUUGGAAACUGGGAGCCUUGAGUGCAGAAGAGGAGCGUGGAACUCCAAGUGUAGCGGUGAAAUGCGUAGAUACAUGGAAGAACACCAGUGGCGAAGGCGGCUCUCUGGUCUGUAACUGACGCUGAGGUUCGAAAGCGUGGGUAGCGAACAGGAUUAGAUACCCGGGUAGUC
rnacentral:rRNA from 1 species